rnacentral:lncRNA from 1 species
UAGAGGCCUCAGAUCACAAUUAAUUCCCUUUGUUCGUGGUCUAGGAAUAUAGUUCCCAAUUAUUAUAUAGGGUAUUUCUUCCCAAGUAAUCUGUCUACUGUUUUCUUUGAAAUGUUUACUAUUUAAGUGGUCCUAUCAGUUGCAUAUAUAUUGAAAUAAGUAAAACAUGUAGAAAAAAAAUAUUGUUGAAAGUGAAAGUAGUGAUUUGGCCAAACUGAAAGUAGGGUAGAAAUUAGCCUUCGUCAUUUAUUCAAGAUUCAAAUCCUACCAUUGGCAUGCUAAUAGGGCCCUCAAAAGAAAAAGCACUGAUGGAUUGUCCUGGGACAAGCAUAUUUUAUUAGAUUAAUAAUGGUCUAUAAGCAGUUAAAUUUAUUUCAUGUUUGUAGCGGUGCAAAUUUUUUAAUUCAAUUUGACUUUAACUAAAAAAUGCAUUGUAGCCAAGGGGAAGAAUAAUUGUGUUCUGAGGCCUAGGAGAUGAGUUUGGACAAAACACAAUUAUUGUAAAUAAAGGGUCUAACAGGUAACAACAUGAUCUUUGUCUGAUUACUUUUCAAGAAAGAAAACAGAAAUUACACAAAGUCUAUCAAAAUAAGACAUUUUCACCAUAUUUGGGCAUAUGAGGCAGAUAUUGGCAUUUUUUACAGUUGACAUGAUUUCUAAUGAAAAUUAAAGGAAUACAAUUGUGAGAAUGUACCACAUUACUUCAUUAAAUCAAUGAGGGUACCUUAUAAAUGCAAUUUAAUAAGGUUUUACAAAACUGAGUUGAUCCUGGGACAUAACAUGACAUACAAAGACAUUUAAAAAUAAUGAAAAAAAAAUGUUUUAAAAAAUUUAAAAGUGUCAAGUCUAAAUUACUUUUAGUUGUUUAGAAGUAAAUAACCAAUAGGUGGGAUAGAAUGAAGGGAAAAAAAUCAAUUUUUCAGUGUCUAUUCAUCCACAAUUAUGCUUUUUAUGUCUGUACCUUUAUCAUACUGACCAAUUCUGAUUUAAUAAACAUAGAGAUAUAGAUAUGAAAAAUAAUGGCACAUAAUUGGCAGUUUGCUUUAGCAGUUGUCUCAUUUCAACUAAAUACAAGUUAUGUUAACUGGAUCAAGGCUUAUUUUGGGAAAACAAUACCAAAAAAAUAUUUUCUGAAUAAAAGUUUGACUGAAUUCUUAAAACUUUGCAAAUAGCAUGUUCCGCAGACAUAUCUACUAUAAUAAAAACAUUCCAAACUUUUUUGUUAUUUGUCAGAAUGUAAUAAAAUUUGAUAUUUAUACUACUAAGAUAUAAUGCUAAGUAACUGUGAAGUUUCAUAUGGAUACUUUAAUUUUUUGAGGUCUAGGAGAUGAGUUUGGACAAAACACAAUUAUUGUGAAUAAAGGGUCUAACAGGUAACAACAUGAUCUUUGUCUGAUUACUUUUCAAGAAAGAAAACAGAAAUUGCACAAAGUCUAUCAAAAUAAGACAUUUUUACCAUAUUUGGGCAUAUGAGGCAGAUAUUGGCAUUAUUUAAAGUUUACAUGAUUUCUAAUGAAAAUUAAAGGAAUAAAAUUGUGAGAAUGUACCACAUUACUUCAUUAAAUCAUAAGGGUACCUUAUAAAUGCAAUUUAAUAAGGUUUUACAAAACUGAGUUGAUCCUGGGACAUAACAUGACAUACAAAGACAUUUAAAAAUAAUGAAAAAUAAAAUGUUUUAAAAAAUUUAAAAGUGUCAAGUCUAAAUUACUUUUAGUUGUUUAGAAGUAAAUAACCAAUAGGUGGGAUAGAUUGAAGGGAAUAGAUCAAUUUUUAGUGUUUAUUCAUCCACAAUUAUGCUUUUUAUGUCUGUACCUUUAUCUUACUGACCAAUUCUGAUUUAAUACACAUAGAGAUAUAGAUAUGAAAAAUAAUGGCAUAUAAGUGGCAGUUUGCUUUAGCAGUUGUCUCAUUUCAACUAAAUACAAGUUAUGUUAACUGGAUCAAGGCUUAUUUUGGGAAAACAAUACCAAAAAAAUAUUUUCUGAAUAAAAUUUUUAUUGAAUUCUUAAAACUUUGCAAAUAGCAUGUUCCGCAGACAUAUAUACUAAUAUAAAAACAUUCCAAACUUUUUUAAUAUUUGUUAGAAUGUUAUAAAAUUUGGCAUUUAUACUACUAAGAUAUAAUGCUAAGUAACUGUAAAGUUUCAUAGGGAUACUUUAAUUUUUUGAGGUUGUAGGAGAUGAGUUAUGGACAAAACACAAUUAUUGUAAAUAAAGGGUCUAACAGGUAACAACAUGAUCUUUGUCUGAUUACUUUUCAAGAAAGAAAACAGAAAUUACACAAAGUCUAUCAAAAUAAGACAUUUUUACCAUAUUUGGGCAUAUGAGGCAGAUAUUGGCAUUUUUUUAACAGUUUACAUGAUUUCUAAUGAAAAUUAAAGGAAUAAAAUUGUGAGAAUGUACCACAUUACUUCAUUAAAUCAUGAGGGUACCUUAUAAAUGCAAUUUAAUAAGGUUUUACAAAACUGAGUUGAUCCUGGGACAUAACAUGACAUACAAAGACAUUUAAAAAUAAUGAAAAUAAAAUGUUUUAAAAAAAUUUAAAAGAGUCAAGUCUAAAUUACUUUUAGUUGUUUAGAAGUAAAUAACCAAUAGGUGGGAUAGAAUGAAGGGAAUAAAUCAAUUUUUCAGUGUCUAUUCAUCCACAAUUAUGCUUUUUAUGUCUGUACCUUUAUCAUACUGACCAAUUCUGAUUUAAUAAACAUAGAGAUAUAGAUAUGAAAAAUAAUGGCAUAUAAGUGGCAGUUUGCUUUAGCAGUUGUCUCAUUUCAACUAAAUACAAGUUAUGUUAACUGGAUCAAGGCUUAUUUUGGGAAAACAAUACCAAAAAAAUAUUUUCUGAAUAAAAUUUUGACUGAAUUCUUAAAACUUUGCAAAUAGCAUGUUCCGCAGACAUAUAUACUAAUAUAAAAACAUUCCAAACUUUUUUAUUAUUUGUCAGAAUGUAAUAAAAUUUGGCAUUUAUACUACUAAGAUAUAAUGCUAAGUAACUGUAAAGUUUCAUAUGGAUACUUUAAUUUUUUGAGGUCUAAUAGGCCUCAGAUCACAAUUAAUUCCCUUUGUUCGUGGUCUAGGAAUAUAGUUCCCAAUUAUUAUAUAGGGUAUUUCUUCCCAAGUAAUCUGUCUACU